rnacentral:rRNA from 1 species
AACGAACGCUGGCGGCGUGCCUAACACAUGCAAGUCGGACGCGAAAGGGGGCAACCCCCGGUAGCGUGGCAGACGGGUGAGUAACACGUGGGCAAUCUGCCCCGAGGUGGGGAAUAACUUUCCGAAAGGAAGGCUAAUACCGCAUGACACCGCAGGGUCCUCGGACCCCGCGAUCAAAGCUGGCCUCUGUUUACAAGCUAGCGCCACGGGAGGAGCACGCGCCCCAUUAGCUAGUUGGUGAGGUAGCGGCUCACCAAGGCGACGAUGGGUAGCCGGCCUGAGAGGGUGAUCGGCCACACUGGAACUGAGACACGGUCCAGACUCCUACGGGAGGCAGCAGUGAGGAAUAUUGCGCAAUGGGCGAAAGCCUGACGCAGCGACGCCGCGUGGAGGAUGAAGGUCUUCGGAUUGUAAACUCCUGUCGUGCGGGACGAAUGCCUCGGCCGUGAACAACGGUCGGGGUUGACGGUACCGCAGGAGGAAGCCCCGGCUAACUCUGUGCCAGCAGCCGCCGUAAAAC